GGGAGUGAAAUAGAACCUGAAACCCUGCACUUACAAGCUGUGGAAGCACAUUUCUUGUGUGACCGCGUACUUUUUGUAGAACGGGCCAACGAGUUACGUUAAGUAGCCAGGUUAAGCACUUAAGGUGCGGAGCCGUAGCGAAAGCGAGUUUUAACUGAGCGUUCAGUUACUUGACGUAGACCCGAAACCGGGCGACCUACCCAUGAGCAGGAUGAAGCGAAAGUAAAAUUUCGUG
rnacentral:rRNA from 1 species